GCAGAACGCGAAGAACCUUACCAAGGCUUGACAUGGAUUUCUAAGCACGUGAAAGCGUGUGACCCUUCGGGGAACUUCCACAGGUGCUGCAUGGCCGUCGUCAGCUCGUGUCGUGAGAUGUUGGGUUAAGUCCCGCAACGAGCGCAACCCUUGUGAUUAGUUGCCAGCGGGUAAUGCCGGGAACUCUAAUCAGACUGCCCAGAUCAACUGGGAGGAAGGUGGGGACGACGUCAGGUCAGUAUGGCCCUUACGCCUUGGGCUGCACACGUACUACAAUGCCCAGUACAAUGAGAACCGAGACCGCGAGGUGGAGGAAAUCUAUAAAACUGGGCCCAGUUCGGAUUGGAGGCUGCAACUCGCCUCCAUGAAGUUGGAAUCGCUAGUAAUGGCACAUCAGCUACGGUGCCGUGAAUACGUUCCCGGGUCUUGUACACACCG
rnacentral:rRNA from 1 species